rnacentral:lncRNA from 1 species
AUUAAAAUGAAGCACCCGGUGGAGGGUAGGGAUGAGAGACCAGGGUGGGACUUGACACUUCCUCCUGCCACCCUUGAGCACAUCACUUAGCAUCUGUCUUCCCCUGAUGUUUACCGAGCUCUGACGUGUACGCAGCCAAGGGGAUAGCGGUGAUCAUGGCAGGCAGGUUCUCUGCCCUCGUGGAUUCUUGGGGACAGUCUGUAAAAUAGGAACAGUAAUAAUAUACAUAACAAAUAUUGUGAGGAGUAAAUAAAAGGCUGGGGAUGUAGCCCAGUGAUGCAUACCCAGCACUGGCAAAAAAUAAAUAAAUAAAUAAAAUUGAGAAAACAAGUGCCAAACAUAGUGCUUGAUAUAGG